ensembl:lncRNA
CCCCCCCCCAAAGUCCCUUAACCUUGGGCCUCAGUGCCCUUAUUUCAAAAAUAAGUGUGGUUACCUAGGUCGCCUAAAUUCCUUUUCAUCUCCAAGUCUUUGAAUCGAACUAAAGCAGCCUUUAUUGUUAAAGCAGCCCAAACCUGUGAUAUUAUCACACACAACAUUUGUAAUAGCAGGCUUUAUGGGAGAAAUGUUUUUUUUUCAUCGUGUAACAGUUUUAACUUCCUCAAGUAUCUGCAAAAAGUACAUUUUUUUCGACUUGCAAGAGAAAAACGAGUGCCUCUUGUGGAGCUAUUCCUCUAAAGUCAAUGUUGCAGGUUGCUGUCAAGUGAAGCCAGAUGCUAUUUACUUAGGCCUGUUUGGCUCCCAGGUUGCGCUGCCUCCUGGGGCUUUGCUGGUGGAAGGUAAGAACCAGAAGAGGUUUCAGACACAGUCCUUCUCCCAGGGCCUUGUGUCACAUGUCUCACUCGUUUCCGUCCAAGAACAUUUUCCUUUUUUGCAGCUAAGGGGUGCAUCGGGUUUCUCCAACUCAAGCCAGCAUUUUGGCUGACAAACUUGAAAGUCAGAGCCACGACUUUCUUCUUCUCCCUUUCCCAAGUCUCUGCAGUAACUCCGCCCCUUCUCAGGUUCAGUCGGCUUCUCACCUCUCGCUACCGUCUCCUCUUCCCCCUUCCUCCCACCUUCCCGACUGCUGUGAAGACCCAGACAAGUUAAAGCUUUAAAUCGGAGCCAUGCCCUGGUGGAUGCUACUGCGCAUGCUCAGAGAGCCGGCUUCUGGGUCACGCCGGAUUUCUCCGCGGUGGCCGUGGCGGCGCUGUGCGCGCUCCCGGACAUAACACGUGCGCGCGCGCGAGGCGAGCCUCUGAGCGCGCUCCCGAGUAUAGUGGAGGGGCGGGGGGGAGUGGAUGUGGCGGUGCUGCGUGCUCCCGGGCACAGUGACGGGGGCGGGGGCGCGCGCUCGGGGCGCGACGCCGCGGACGAGGGGACGGUCGGAGCUCGCUCCCGCGGAAGGAGGUGUGGGGUUGGACCCAGGCGGCGUGCGGUUCGGGGCUGAGGGUUGGGGUGGGGGGGAAGGGGGCCCGGGAGUCUGCGGUCUCCCCUGCUCGUGGGUCCGCGCGGCUGCAGGCGGCCUGCACCGCUCGGGGGCCGACGCCGGGGCGGCUGCCUCUGGGAGAUGGCAAUCCUCGGCUCCGAGGGGUGAGGAGACCCGCCGCCGGCUGCUGAAGGAAGAGAAGGAGGCGCCGCCGCCGCCGCCACCUCUUGGGCAGGCAGGCGGACGGGCGAGGCUGGAAGAUGGUACUUUAGCUGCUAACUUGAAGUCCAGAAAUGGAGUGUCAGUUUCAGGAGGGAGAAAAAACCCAGCAAGCAGGUCAGUGUCAUUGGAUCUCAGAGUAUAUGUGUGUGGGGGGUGGGGGGUAGUAAGGUAUAAAAAGAAUGGAAAGACAAGAAGGGGCCAGGUUAUGGAGGGCUUUCUAAGCCAAAAGGAUUUUAUAUUUGAUUCUAGGGGUGAUAGGAAGCCACUGGAGUUGAUUAAAGGGGAUGUUGAUGUGGUCAGACUUUUGUUUUAGGAAAGUCACUUUGACUGGAGGGUAGAUUUGGAGUGGGGAAAGACUUGACGAAGUGAGAGCAAUCAAGCAGGGUAUUGCAGUAGUAGGUGUAUGAAGUAAUGAGGACAUGAACCAGGGUGGUGGUAGUGUAGGAGAACAGGAGCCUAUGUAAGUGAUGUUAUGAAGGUAGAAACAGAACUGUGCAAUGAGUUGGAUAUGUGUGAGAGAGGAAUCCAGGAUGAUGCUUGGGUUGCAAGGUUGCAAGCCUGGUGACUGGAUAAUGGUACCUUGGAAAAUAUUAGAAAGUAAAGAAGAAGAGAAAGUUUAGAGAUAAAAAUGUGUUCAGUUUUGGAUAUGUUGAGCUUAAGAUGUUUACAAGACAUUAAGUUUGAUGUGUUCAAUAAACAGUUAUCCGUGUAUCUGUAAGCA